AUUCUAGAGGUGGUUCCCAUUGGGUAGGUUUUAAUGCGUAGUUUGUCACUUUGUUUUUCUUUUUGGGUUAAAAUGCUCAACUUUGAACUUUCUGAUUUUCUUUUAUGUCUUUUAUGAUGACUUUUCCCUGCUUUUGUGUUGAAUCAUCAUUUGGUGAUAUAGUUAAUUUGAUUGCACAGUUUGACUAGCCAUAUUCAGAUUUUAUGGAAGUGCAUGAAAUAUGAGGACAUUAAAGCUUAUCAACUGUAACAUUAAUGAUAAACAUGGUUGGAUGGCAGUAAACUUAACCUUAUUUUAGGUGCAAUAAUAAGGAAGAAGCAUUUGAAAGGUUGGUGAAUGUAGGACAGUAGGAGUAGGACAACUUGCAGGAAUGAUAUUCAGUCUUCGUUUUGGAUUUAUUUUAAGGAAGGAACAAAUAGAAACCUGGGUAGACAACUAGAAUUUAUUACAAGAAUAACUAUAAUGACAAACUAGCACAAAGGGCCUGUUUGAUUUAACUAUUGGAAACAAUUGAUAGCUGAUAACCGAUAGUUGUUACUGUUAGUUGAUAGAUGAAUACUAAUAGCUGACUGUAGUUGAUUUAUGUUAAGUAUUUAGUAAAACUAUAUCUAGUUGUUGUUGUUGAUAUAUAAAAUGACUAAUAAGAAUAUAUCCUAUAAUUUUUAUAUUUAUUGAAAUAAAUAUACAAUUAUUAAUUUA
rnacentral:misc_RNA from 1 species